GUAACAAGGUUUCCGUAGGUGAACCUGCGGAAGGAUCAUUGUCGAAACCUGCCCCGGCAGAACGACCCGCGAACAUGUUGUAGCAUACGCGGGGAUCGGCCCCUCGGGGCCGCUCCCGGCACAACAACGAAACCCCGGCGUGAAAAGCGCCAAGGAACAGAAACGUGUCGCGUGCCUCCCCGCGCCCGGUUCGCCCGGAUCGCGGGGUCGCACCUGCCUUUACGAACACAACGACUCUCGGCAACGGAUAUCUCGGCUCUCGCAUCGAUGAAGAACGUAGCGAAAUGCGAUACUUGGUGUGAAUUGCAGAAUCCCGUGAACCAUCGAGUCUUUGAACGCAAGUUGCGCCCGAAGCUUCGGCCGAGGGCACGUCUGCCUGGGCGUCACGCAUAGCGUCUCCCCCGCACCUACCGCGCGAUGGGGAAGGAGGAUGGCCUCCCGUGCCUCACCGGGCGCGGUUCGCCUAAAGACGGAGCCCACGGCAUCGAGCCGCCGCGGCGAUUGGUGGAUUGAACGGCCCCGAGCCACGUCAAUUUGUAACGUCGCGUGCGAGCGAGGUGCCCGAGGGAGCUCGCUGGACCCCGAGCGCGAGCUCAUACCCUUGCGACCCCAGGUCAGGCGGGGCUACCCGCUGAGUUUAAACAUAUCAAUA
rnacentral:rRNA from 1 species